UACGUAGGGUGCGAGCGUUGUCCGGAAUUACUGGGCGUAAAGGGCUCGUAGGCGGUCCAUCGCGUCGGGGGUGAAAAGCUGGGGCUCAACCCCAGUCCUGCUUCCGAUACGGGUGGACUAGAGGUAUGCAGGGGAGAACGGAAUUCCUGGUGUAGCGGUGAAAUGCGCAGAUAUCAGGAGGAACACCGGUGGCGAAGGCGGUUCUCUGGGCAUUACCUGACGCUGAGGAGCGAAAGCGUGGGGAGCAAACAGG
rnacentral:rRNA from 1 species